rnacentral:rRNA from 1 species
UACGAAGGGUGCAAGCGUUACUCGGAAUUACUGGGCGUAAAGGGUGCGUAGGUGGUUUGUUAAGUCUGCUGUGAAAUCCCCGGGCUCAACCUGGGAAUGGCAGUGGAUACUGGCAAGCUAGAGUGCGGUAGAGGGUAGUGGAAUUCCCGGUGUAGCAGUGAAAUGCGUAGAUAUCGGGAGGAACACCUGAGGUGAAGACGGGUUGCUGGGCCGACACUGACGCUGAUAGCGCGAAAGCCAGGGGAGCAAACGGG